AGCGAACGCUGGCGGCAGGCUUAACACAUGCAAGUCGAGCGGGCACUUUCGGGUGUCCGCGGCGGACGGGUGAGUAACGCGUGGGAACGUGCCCUCUGGUUCGGAAUAACUCAGGGAAACUUGAGCUAAUACCGGAUACGCCCCUUUGGGGAAAGGCUUGCUGCCGGAGGAUCGGCCCGCGUCUGAUUAGCUAGUUGGUGAGGUAACGGCUCACCAAGGCGACGAUCAGUAGCUGGUCUGAGAGGAUGAUCAGCCACACUGGGACUGAGACACGGCCCAGACUCCUACGGGAGGCAGCAGUGGGGAAUAUUGGACAAUGGGCACAAGCCUGAUCCAGCCAUGCCGCGUGAGUGAUGAAGGCCUUAGGGUUGUAAAGCUCUUUUAUCCGGGACGAUAAUGACGGUACCGGAGGAAUAAGCCCCGGCUAACUUCGUG
rnacentral:rRNA from 1 species